GGUUAUUGUUAGACAUUUGGAAGUUAGAGCUCAAUUCAGCUAUUUAUUUAUUUGAUAUCUUUAUCUUGUCUUAUCUCAAAGGAAACCAAUGAUUUACUGAAAGAUCUCUCAAUAGAUCCCAUUUUACUCCUUGCUUAUGCUGAUUGAAAACUUACAUUUGGCAAUUGGAAAGCAGAAACAGACAGCUGCUGAUAUUUGAGUAUUUCAAUUCCAUCACAGCACCAGGAGGUCAUUACUUGAAGGAGGGAAUACUUCUAUUUACACAAGGGCCUUGCCUCCUCCAUCCCUUCCCAAAGGUGUCUCCACACAGCGCCUACUUGAAGCAAAUGGAUCCUCGCUUUCCCAGCAGCACUUUGCGCUACACAAUCAUCGAAGGAGCCUUGUGCCCCCUCCCAAGUAUGAUCAUCAGUUCCUUACCUCUUCUCCAGCAACUGAGAACCAAGAGCAGCAGCAGCAGGGGAAAGCCAUAAUUAUCAGAAGAACAGGGAAGACUCCUCCCUUUCCCUACAAGGUUAACGGACACCUGCC